rnacentral:rRNA from 1 species
CUUUGUGGUUCAACUGAUUUGAAGAGCUUGCUCAGAUAUGACGAUGGACAUUGCAAAGAGUGGCGAACGGGUGAGUAACACGUGGGAAACCUACCUCUUAGCAGGGGAUAACAUUUGGAAACAGAUGCUAAUACCGUAUAACAAUGACAACCGCAUGGUUGUUAUUUAAAAGAUGGUUCUGCUAUCACUAAGAGAUGGUCCCGCGGUGCAUUAGCUAGUUGGUAAGGUAAUGGCUUACCAAGGCGAUGAUGCAUAGCCGAGUUGAGAGACUGAUCGGCCACAAUGGGACUGAGACACGGCCCAUACUCCUACGGGAGGCAGCAGUAGGGAAUCUUCCACAAUGGGCGAAAGCCUGAUGGAGCAACGCCGCGUGUGUGAUGAAGGGUUUCGGCUCGUAAAACACUGUUGUAAGAGAAGAAUGACAUUGAGAGUAACUGUUCAAUGUGUGACGGUAUCUUACCAGAAAGGAACGGCUAAAUACGUGCCAGCAGCCGCGGUAAUACGUAUGUUCCAAGCGUUAUCCGGAUUUAUUGGGCGUAAAGCGAGCGCAGACGGUUAUUUAAGUCUGAAGUGAAAGCCCUCAGCUCAACUGAGGAAUUGCUUUGGAAACUGGAUGACUUGAGUGCAGUAGAGGAAAGUGGAACUCCAUGUGUAGCGGUGAAAUGCGUAGAUAUAUGGAAGAACACCAGUGGCGAAGGCGGCUUUCUGGACUGUAACUGACGUUGAGGCUCGAAAGUGUGGGUAGCAAACAGGAUUAGAUACCCUGGUAGUCCACACCGUAAACGAUGAGUGCUAGGUGUUUGAGGGUCUCCGCCCUUAAGUGCCGCAGCUAACGCAUUAAGCACUCCGCCUGGGGAGUACGACCGCAAGGUUGAAACUCAAAGGAAUUGACGGGGACCCGCACAAGCGGUGGAGCAUGUGGUUUAAUUCGAAGCAACGCGAAGAACCUUACCAGGUCUUGACAUCCCUUGACAACUCCAGAGAUGGAGCGUUCCCUUCGGGGACAAGGUGACAGGUGGUGCAUGGUUGUCGUCAGCUCGUGUCGUGAGAUGUUGGGUUAAGUCCCGCAACGAGCGCAACCCUUAUUACUAGUUGCCAGCAUUCAGUUGGGCACUCUAGUGAGACUGCCGGUGACAAACCGGAGGAAGGUGGGGAUGACGUCAAAUCAUCAUGCCCCUUAUGACCUGGGCUACACACGUGCUACAAUGGCGUAUACAACGAGUUGCCAACCCGCGAGGGUGAGCUAAUCUCUUAAAGUACGUCUCAGUUCGGAUUGUAGGCUGCAACUCGCCUACAUGAAGUCGGAAUCGCUAGUAAUCGCGGAUCAGCACGCCGCGGUGAAUACGUUCCCGGGUCUUGUACACACCGCCCGUCACACCAUGAGAGUUUGUAACACCCAAAGCCGGUGGGGUAACCUU